rnacentral:rRNA from 1 species
UACGUAGGUGCAAGCGUUGUCCGGAAUUAUUGGGCGUAAAGAGCUCGUAGGCGGUCUGUCGCGUCUGCUGUGAAAACUCAGGGCUUAACCCUGAGCUUGCAGUGGGUACGGGCAGACUAGAGUGCGGUAGGGGAGACUGGAAUUCCUGGUGUAGCGGUGAAAUGCGCAGAUAUCAGGAGGAACACCGGUGGCGAAGGCGGGUCUCUGGGCCGAUACUGACGCUGGAGGAGCGAAAGCGUGGGGAGCGAACAGG